rnacentral:rRNA from 1 species
GUCUGGGGAUCUGCCCGAUAGAGGGGGAUAACCACUGGAAACGGUGGCUAAUACCGCAUAACGUCGCANGACCAAAGAGGGGGACCUUCGGGCCUCUCACUAUCGGAUGAACCCAGAUGGGAUUAGCUAGUAGGCGGGGUAAUGGCCCACCUAGGCGACGAUCCCUAGCUGGUCUGAGAGGAUGACCAGCCACACUGGAACUGAGACACGGUCCAGACUCCUACGGGAGGCAGCAGUGGGGAAUAUUGCACAAUGGGCGCAAGCCUGAUGCAGCCAUGCCGCGUGUAUGAAGAAGGCCUUCGGGUUGUAAAGUACUUUCAGCGGGGAGGAAGGCGACACGGUUAAUAACCGCGUUGAUUGACGUUACCCGCAGAANAAGCACCGGCUAACUCCGUGCCAGCAGCCGCGGUAAUACGGAGGGUGCAAGCGUUAAUCGGAAUUACUGGGCGUAAAGCGCACGCAGGCGGUCUGUUAAGUCAGAUGUGAAAUCCCCGGGCUUAACCUGGGAACUGCAUUUGAAACUGGCANGCUUGAGUCUUGUAG